GUGCUCAUUUCAGCAGCACAUGUACUAAGAUUGGAGCAAUACAAAGAUUAGCAUAGUUCCUGUGCCAGGAUGACAUGAAAAUUGGGAGAUGUUCCAUAUUUUC